CGGGAUGUAGCUCAGCUUGGUAGAGCACUGCGCUGGGGGCGCAGUGGUCGCACGUUCAAAUCGUGUCAUCCCGACCA
rnacentral:tRNA from 1 species